GAUGAACGCUGGCGGCGUGCCUAAUACAUGCAAGUCGAGCGAACGGACGAGAAGCUUGCUUCUCUGAUGUUAGCGGCGGACGGGUGAGUAACACGUGGAUAACCUACCUAUAAGACUGGGAUAACUUCGGGAAACCGGAGCUAAUACCGGAUAAUAUUUUGAACCGCAUGGUUCAAAAGUGAAAGACGGUCUUGCUGUCACUUAUAGAUGGAUCCGCGCUGCAUUAGCUAGUUGGUAAGGUAACGGCUUACCAAGGCAACGAUGCAUAGCCGACCUGAGAGGGUGAUCGGCCACACCGGAACUGAGACACGGCCCAGACUCCUACGGGAGGCAGCAGUAGGGAAUCUUCCGCAAUGGGCGAAAGCCUGACGGAGCAACGCCGCGUGAGUGAUGAAGGUCUUCGGAUCGUAAAACUCUGUUAUUAGGGAAGAACAUAUGUGUAAGUAACUGUGCACAUCUUGACGGUACCUAAUCAGAAAGCCACGGCUAACUACGUGCCAGCAGCCGCGGUAAUACGUAGGUGGCAAGCGUUAUCCGGAAUUAUUGGGCGUAAAGCGCGCGUAGGCGGUUUUUUAAGUCUGAUGUGAAAGCCCACGGCUCAACCGUGGAGGGUCAUUGGAAACUGGAAAACUUGAGUGCAGAAGAGGAAAGUGGAAUUCCAUGUGUAGCGGUGAAAUGCGCAGAGAUAUGGAGGAACACCAGUGGCGAAGGCGACUUUCUGGUCUGUAACUGACGCUGAUGUGCGAAAGCGUGGGGAUCAAACAGGAUUAGAUACCCUGGUAGUCCACGCCGUAAACGAUGAGUGCUAAGUGUUAGGGGGUUUCCGCCCCUUAGUGCUGCAGCUAACGCAUUAAGCACUCCGCCUGGGGAGUACGACCGCAAGGUUGAAACUCAAAGGAAUUGACGGGGACCCGCACAAGCGGUGGAGCAUGUGGUUUAAUUCGAAGCAACGCGAAGAACCUUACCAAAUCUUGACAUCCUUUGACAACUCUAGAGAUAGAGCCUUCCCCUUCGGGGGACAAAGUGACAGGUGGUGCAUGGUUGUCGUCAGCUCGUGUCGUGAGAUGUUGGGUUAAGUCCCGCAACGAGCGCAACCCUUAAGCUUAGUUGCCAUCAUUAAGUUGGGCACUCUAAGUUGACUGCCGGUGACAAACCGGAGGAAGGUGGGGAUGACGUCAAAUCAUCAUGCCCCUUAUGAUUUGGGCUACACACGUGCUACAAUGGACAAUACAAAGGGCAGCGAAACCGCGAGGUCAAGCAAAUCCCAUAAAGUUGUUCUCAGUUCGGAUUGUAGUCUGCAACUCGACUACAUGAAGCUGGAAUCGCUAGUAAUCGUAGAUCAGCAUGCUACGGUGAAUACGUUCCCGGGUCU
rnacentral:rRNA from 1 species